GGAAAAUCACUAGAUUUCAAGGAAUCAAGACAUCAAAGGUGGUGAAUCCUCCGGUAAGGGCAAAGAAGUUGUACCCAAAGACCGGGACUAGGAGUACUUCGACUCUCAAUAUUAUUGGUCACUACAGUGGCGGGUUCUACGGGCCAGCCUAUUAGAGGGGCACGAAAUUUGGUUAUAUUUUUACCUCGAUCGGAGAAGUGUGUAGGGUAUCUCCUGGGGUAAAGUUUAGAGUUCACUUCAUGCUGAACCACCACUUGAAAGUGAAUUCAGCCAACGCCAAGGAACGACCGUGCUUUUAAAUUAACAAUGUGUGUUGUGCAUAUAUGACUUUUUAACAACCUUGGUGGACUCGGCUAGAUGCCUCGACCAAGGUAUCCCCGAGAAUGAGU